GGGUCGUUAGCUCAGUUGGUAGAGCAGUUGGCUUUUAACCAUUUUAACCAAUUGGUCGUAGGUUCGAAUCCUACACGACCCA
rnacentral:tRNA from 1 species